GGUGAUACUGCAACAAGAAAUGAGAUGGAUUCAAUUCCUACCUCAUAGCUUAGAGUCUAGUGGGAGUAGACCAAUGAGUAUUCAGAUGGUGUGUUACACACCCUAUAAUAGGAAACCCAGGGAGCUGUGGGCAGUAGGUAAGGACCAGGUAGCUCAGACUGGAGGGAAUGCUCUCUGCACUGGACCCGGAAGAGGAACGGACAUUGGCGGGAAGCAGACAACUUGUUCCUGGAGAGACAUGAAUUUCCAAUGGGCCCUAAUGAAUGCUGGAGGAAAAUCCAUCACUGUCUUGAACUAGCAUGUUACAAGUGCUGAGUAAUACUGUUUGCUGGAUGUAUCACAGUUUAUUUAUCUAUCCAUCUACUGAAGGACAUCUCGAUUGCCUCUAAGUUUUGUACUGCUGAGGAUGCCAUAACAGAGAAAAAGUCACCAGAGUUUCUGCAGUGCCAGAUCUACUGGUCCUCAAUCUUCAUCCUGCUUCAUCACUUUUUUAGCCUCUGGCAUUAUUCUUUUUAAUGUGCACUUUUAAUAGUUGAAUAAUAUUACAUGGAAAAAUUUACCAUGAAUUCAAUUUUCUUCUGAUUUUAAUAAUUAUAGAGAUUACAAAUAAACCACUAUAAUUAU